rnacentral:rRNA from 1 species
GAUGAACGCUAGCGGCAGGCUUAAUAACAUGCAAGUCGAGGGGCAGCGGGGGUAGCAAUACCUGCCGGCGACCGGCAAACGGGUGCGGAACACGUACAGAACCUUCCUUUAAGCGGGGAUAGCCCGGAGAAAUCCGGAUUAAUACCCCAUAGUAAUAUUGACUGGCAUCAGUUGGUAUUUAAAGAUUUAUCACUUAAAGAUGGCUGUGCGGCUGAUUAGGUAGUUGGUUGGGGUAACGCCCACCAAGCCAACGAUCAGUAACUGGUGUGAGAGCACGACCAGUCACACGGGCACUGAGACACGGGCCCGACUCCUACGGGAGCAGCAGUAAGGAAUAUGGUCAAUGGACNCAAGUCUGAACCAGCCAUGCCGCGUGAAGAU